rnacentral:rRNA from 1 species
GAGUUUGAUCUUGGCUCAGGACGAACGCUGGCGGCAUGCCUAAUACAUGCAAGUCGGACGGAUGCACAUUAGUGUGUAUCAGUGGCGAACGGGUGAGUAACACGUAAGUGACCUACCUGUACGACGAGGAUAACUACUGGAAACGGUAGCUAAGACUGGAUAGGAUAUAUACUUAAGGGUAUAUAUUUAAAGGAUCCUUUAGGAUCGCGUACAGAAGGGCUUGCGGCGCAUUAGCUAGUUGGUGGGGUAAAGGCCUACCAAGGCGACGAUGCGUAGCCGACCUGAGAGGGUGACCGGCCACACUGGGACUGAGAGACGGCCCAGACUCCUACGGGAGGCAGCAGUAGGGAAUCUUCGGCAAUGGACGGAAGUCUGACCGAGCGAUGCCGCGUGAGCGAAGAAGGUCUUCGGAUUGUAAAGCUCUGUGAUUAGGGAAGAAGGCUAUUAGGAGGGAAUGCCUAAUAGGUGACGGUACCUAAUUAGAAAGCCACGGCUAACUACGUGCCAGCAGCCGCGGUAAUACGUAGGUGGCGAGCGUUGUCCGGAAUUACUGGGCGUAAAGGGUGCGUAGGCGGUCCAUUAAGUCUGAUUUGAAAUACCAUGGCUCAACCAUGGGGGUGGAUUGGAAACUGGUGGACUUGAGCGUAGGAGAGGAAGGUGGAAUUCCAUGUGUAGCGGUGAAAUGCGUAGAGAUAUGGAGGAACACCAGUGGCGAAGGCGGCCUUCUGGCCUAUCGCUGACGCUGAGGCACGAAAGCGUGGGGAGCAAACAGGGUUAGAUACCCUGGUAGUCCACGCCGUAAACGAUGAGCACUAAGUAUCGGGUGAGAACUCGGUGCUGUAGUUAACGCAUUAAGUGCUCCGCCUGGGGAGUACGGUCGCAAGACUGAAACUCAAACGAAUUGACGG